rnacentral:rRNA from 1 species
AUGGGAGCCCCGUCGUGGAACGCCCUAGGACGCUGGUGCCGCGCCUCGCCCCCGCCUCUCCUUCCCCGCCCCGGACCUUCCCGUCGCCGGUGCCUCGCCCUACCUCUCCAUCCCGUACCCCCCGUCGAUGGUGCCCCGCUCGCUGUCGCCCCUGCCAACCACACGAGCCGCCGCCGUUCCCAGCGAACCCCAGGUGUCGCCGUUCCCGCCAACCACGCGAGUCGCCGCCCUCGCAACCCCAGGUGCCGCUACCGCCGCGCCGCCGCUGCCUGCCUCCUCCCACGAUGCCGCUGCCGGCCCCUGCCACCACGUGCCACCGCGGCCCCCGUCCAGCGCCGCAGCCCCACCACCGGUUAUCCCCACAUCUCCUCUGCCAACUCUGGUUCGUCUUCUUUCCUCACCUCAAGAUCAUCCUCAAUGGAGAUCCCUGUCCCUGCUCCCCAACCUGGUCUGGGUUCUUCUGCCGCCGUCGCCUCCGCAUCACAGCUCCGGCAGGCACCUCAAGUGCCUCUUCCCCUGCUGGCUCAAAGUAUGCUGCAGUCCAAAGUGUCAAUUUUCAGCAGGCCAUGGUGA